GAUGAAGAACGUAGUGAAAUGCGAUAAGUAGUGUGAAUUGCAGAUUUCAGUGAAUCAUCGAAUCUUUGAACGCACAUUGCGCCCGGUAGUAUUCUGCCGGGCAUGCCUGUUCGAGCGUCAUUUCAACCAUCAAGCCCCAGCGCUUGUGUUGGGGGCCUGCGGCUGCCGCAGCCCCCUAAAAGCAGUGGCGGGCUCGCUAUCACACCGAGUGCAGUAGUUCAUCUUCUCUCCGGUCUUGUGAGGCGGGUUCCGGCCGUGAAACACCCCACUACAUUCAAGGUUGACCUCGGAUCAGGUAGGAAUACCCGCUGAACUUAAGCAUAUCAAUAAGCGGAGGA
rnacentral:misc_RNA from 1 species